rnacentral:lncRNA from 1 species
UGGAAACUGACCGUGCUUCAUUUUGUAAUUAUGCAUAAGCGGUCAAAACAUCAUAACUCAAUAUUAAUCAGAUGCUUAGCAAACUUACAAAGUUUUGGGUAUUCUCAGUAAGUGUAAUGAUGAAAAUUCAGUUUUGUCUCCUUGAUGUUUUAUUGCAUCGUGGUCUUAGACUUUGUGGCCUACUAUCUCUAUGUAAGAAUUAGCAAACACCCACCCUACAGACCUAGAGUUCAUAGUACGUAUGAAAAAGACCCCCUUAGCACAGUACCUAUCAAACUGAAGGCACUACACGGUUCAGUUUCCUCCAAAAGGAGGAAUUUGGCAAACGAAAGUAAACUGGCAUAAGGGGGAAGCUAGUAUAUGUCUUUUUAAAAUGGUCUACACUUAUGCUCAUUUGUAAUAUGUGAACAGUAACAAGUUAUUUGAGGACUUUCCCACUAGGGCGGGACAGUUAAGCCUUGAAUAGCAUUUAUGAAGUACUUUUGAGAACACAUAAAUGGGGGAAUUCUGUUUCUGCACUGGAAGAGCUUCAUUAUUAAAAACCAAAUUGGGGGGCCAGCCUGGUGGCCCAGCGGUUAAGUUUGCACCUUUUCAGCGGCCCAGGGUUCACCAGUUCAGAUCCCCCGUGCAGACCUACACACCGCUUGUCAAGCCAUGCUGUGGCAGGUGUCCCACAUACAAAAUAGAGGAAGAUGGGCACGGAUGUUAGCUCAGGGCCAGUCUUCCUCAACAAAAAGAGGAUUGGAGGUAGAUAUUAGCUCAGGGCUAAUCUUACCCCACCCACCACCACCACCAAAAAAACCUAAAACAAAUGAGAACCAAAUAAAGGGAAAGUCCAAAGUGUAUUUAUGCCCAAAUAAAGCCACUAUUCAAUAUGACCUUUGAGUGAAUGAGGACCCAGUGAUGGACCCAAAUGUCAGCGAAGAUGUCUAUCACGGUCUUCUCUUAUUGGGGAAGCAGCAAAAAUGAAAUUGGAGGAGAGUUCUGAGCUGCCCUUUCUUUCAAUCAUAGAUGACUCAGUGUGCCCACCCCUUUGCGAAAGCAGGUCCUUAUGUGCCAUGUUAGCUUUCUCCUUUACAAGGAGACCAGGAAUUUCAUGUGCAUUUAUGCUGAAUUAACCUGGAAUGUCUAAAUUCUUUAUAAAAAGUAACUUCUGUGUUCUGAAUACAUGUUCUUUAGAAAGUAAAAAAAAGGAAAGAUACCCC